rnacentral:rRNA from 1 species
AUUGAACGCUGGCGGCAGGCCUAACACAUGCAAGUCGAGCGGAAGAAGGGAGCUUGCUCCUGGAUACAGCGGCGGACGGGUGAGUAAGGCAGAGGAAUAUGCCUGGUAGUGGGGGAGAAGGUGCGGAAACGGGCGCUAAUACCGCAAAAGUGCAGAGGGAGAAAGGGGGGGAGCUUCGGACCUCAGGAUAUUAGGUGAGCCUAGGUCGGAUUAGCUAGUUGGUGGGGUAAAGGCCUACCAAGGCGACGAUCCGUAACUGGUCUGAGAGGAUGAGCAGCCACACUGGAACUGAGACACGGUCCAGACUCCUACGGGAGGCAGCAGUGGGGAAUAUUGGACAAUGGGCGAAAGCCUGAUCCAGCCAUGCCGCGUGUGUGAAGAAGGUCUUCGGAUUGUAAAGCCCUUUUAUUUGGGAGGAAGGGCAGUAAGUUAAUACCUUGCUGUUUUGACGUUACCCACAGAAUAAGCACCGGCUAACUUCGUG